rnacentral:rRNA from 1 species
GUUACUUAAUGCAUAUGGUGGAUGCCUUGACUGAAGUAAGCGAUGAAGGACGCAGCAGGCUGCGAUAAACCUCGGGGAGCUGUCAAGCAAGCUUUGAGCCGGGGGUUUCCGAAUGGGGCAACCCUACGUCUUCGGACGUAAUCUCUGACUGAAUCAAUAGGUCAGAGAAGCAGACCCUGGGAAUUGAAACAUCUUAGUACCAGGAGGAAAAGAAAACAAUUGUGAUUCCGCAAGUAGUGGCGAGCGAACGCGGAAUAGUCUAAACCGUAUCCUUCGGGAUGCGGGGUUGCGAGGUAGUCAUACUCGUUUGAUCGGGGUAUGUCAUGUUCCCUUAGCAAAAUCCUUUGGAAAGAGGAACCAUAGCGGGUAAUAGUCCCGUAUGUGAAAAGCGAACAUGCCAGAUGAGACUAUCCUCAAGUAGGGCGGGACCGGUGAAAUCCCGUCUGAAUCUGGGAGCACUACACUUCCAAGACUAAAUAUUACUUCAGAUCGAUAGCGAACUAGUACCGUGAGGGAAAGGUGAAAAGCAUCCCGGUGAGGGAGGUGAAAUAGAACUGAAACCAUGUGCUAACGAAGAGUUGGAGCGGUCGCUUGCGACCGUGACAGCGUGCUUUUUGCAGAACGAGCCAACGAGUUAGUUUUAUACGGCUUGUCUAAGGGGUCAAACCCCCGGAGACGUAGUGAAAGCGAGCCUUAAUAGGGCGUUUGUCGUAUGGACUAGACCCGAAGCCAGACGAGCUACAUAUGAGCAGGUUGAACCUUGGGUAACACCAGGGGAAGGACCGAACCCACGAGCCGUGCAACACUCGGGGAUGACUUGUGUGUAGGGGAGAAAUUCCAAUCGAGUUUGGCAAUAGCUGGUUCUCUCCGAAAUAGCUUGAGGGCUAGCGUCAUGUAAUUACAUCCAAGAGGUAGAGCUACUGAAUGGAAAUCCGCGGUUCGCCGUAGGCUUUCCAAUCAAACUCCGAAUUCUUGUGAUGCGUAUCAUGGCAGUCAGAAAUCCGGCGCUAAGGUCGGAUCUCAAAAGGGAAACAGCCCAGAUCAUCAUCUAAGGUCCCUAAAUCUAUGUUAAGUGGUAAAGGAAGUGAAGUUUCUUAUACAUCUAGGAGGUUGGCUUAGAAGCAGCCACCCUUUAAAGAGUGCGUAACAGCUCACUAGACUAGAGACUUCGCGCCGAAAAUGUAACGGGGCUAAACAUAGUACCGAAGAUAUGGGAUUGCAUUUAUGCAAUCGGUAGGAGAGUGUUCUCUAUGCGUUGAAGCCAAAGGGGCGACCCAUGGUGGAGUUUAGAGAAGUAAGAAUGUUGGCAUUAGUAACCACAAUUCAGAUGAAAACUCUGAACACCGUAAGUCUAAGGUUUCCUGGGCAACGUCGAUCGACCCAGGGUUAGUCGGUCCUAAGGCGAGGCUGAAAGGCGUAGUCGAUGGACAGCAGGUUAAUAUUCCUGCACUAUGAUAAUAUUCGAAGGAGUGACGCAUCUUAGUAUACUCUGCGCCUUAUUGGAUUGGCGUAGCGAUUCUGAGGACGUCGUGUAGGCAAAUCCGCACGGCAUUAAGUCCAAGGGAUAACUGGAACUCCGCUUUUGGCGGAGGAACUGAGUAGAGCAGGGUGCCAGGAAAAGCUUCUAAGGUUAAUAUUAUCGUAUCCGUACCGAAAACCGACACAGGUAGACGAGGCGAGUAGCCUAAGGUGAACGGGAGAACCUUCGUUAAGGAACUCGGCAAAAAAACUAGACGUAAGUUCGCGAGAUGUCUCGCCUGCCGCAAGGUAGGCCGCAGUGAAAAUUUCCCAAGCGACUGUUUACCAAAAACACAGGUCUCUGCUAAAGCGUAAGCUGAAGUAUAGGGGCUGACACCUGACCAGUGCUGGAACGUUAAGGAGGGAGGUGCAAGCUUUUCUCUGAAGCGCCAGUGAACGUCGGCGAUAACUAUAAUCGUCCUAAGGUAGCGAAAUUCCUUGUCAGGUAAAUUCUGACCCGCAUGAAAGGUGUAACGACUUGGGAACUGUCUCAACGAAGGACCCGGUGAAAUUCGACCUACAGCAAGACGAAAAGACCCCGUGGAGCUUUACUACAACUUGGUAUUGAAUUAGAGUUUUGGUUGCCGAGCAUAGGUGGGAGACUUUGAAGCGCCGUUUCCGGAUGGCGUGGAGUCAACACUGGAAUACCACCCUGCUGAGAUUUUAAUUCUAACCCUGGUCUGUUAUGAGUUUCAUAUCCAGACCGGGAACAGUGCCUGGUGGGUAGUUUGACUGGGGCGGUCGCCUCCUAAAUAGCAACGGAGGCGUUUACAAAGGUUGGCUAGGUCCGGAUGGAAAUCGGGCCGAUAGCGCAAAAGCACAAGCCAGCUUUACUGGAAGACCCAUAAGUCGAUCAGUUACGAAAGUAGAAUUUAGUGAACCGACCAUCCCACGUAGGUGGGUGGAAGAUCAUCAGAUAAAAGUUACCCCGGGGAUAACAGGCUGAUCCCUCCCAAGAGUCCACAUCGACGGAGGGGUUUGGCACCUCGAUGUCGGCUCAUCUCCCAAGGGUUUGGCUGUUCGCCAAUUAAAGCGGUACGCGAGCUGGGUUCAAACCGUCGUGAGACAGGUUGGUCUCUAUCUGCUGUAGGCGUGAGUGCUUGAGAGGACUCUUUCUUAGUACGAGAGGACCGGAAAGAACAAACCUCUGGUGUAUCGGUUGUUCCGCCAGGAGCAUUGCCGAGUAGCUAUGUUUGGACGAGAUAACCGCUGAAAGCAUCUAAGCGGGAAGCUCACCUCAAGAUAAGGCACUAGUCAUGAUUCGUCAUGACAGGACAUCCUAGAAGAAUACUAGGUUGAUAGGCUUUAGGUGUAAGUUCCGUAAGGAAUUUAGCCAAGAAGUACUAAUA